AACGUAGGAGACAAACGUUAUCCGGAGUUACUGGGCGUAAAGGGCGUGUAGGUGGUUUCGUAAGUCUGGCGUGAAAUUUCUCGGCUUAACCGAGGCAGGUCGUCGGAUACUGCGGAACUUGAGGACGGUAGAGGCGUGUGGAAUUCCGGGUGUAGUGGUGAAAUGCGUAGAGAUCCGGAGGAACACCAGUGGCGAAGGCAGCUCGCUGGGACGGUACUGACGCUGAGGCGCGAAAGCGUGGGGAGCGAACAGG
rnacentral:rRNA from 1 species